UAGGGUUGGUCAGUCUGCUGCAGCUUUUGGCUGGUUCUCUGUGCAAGUCAUGGGUUGUUCAGCUCAGCAUGCGUGUUCCUGCAGUUUAUGUGAGAACAUACCAUUUCUUUAGGCUUAGUGAGAAGGAGGGAAGGUUGUGUCAGUCAAAAGGGCCAAGAUUACUUAAAUGUUUCACCUACCAAGAAGUUUUUGGUGUCUGGAUUUGCAAUGCCUCCCCUUACCCACUAGGCCCCAACCUGUCUCUGGAUGUUAAGGAAUCAGCGUUGGAAGCCAAGGUUGUAGGGCAAGAGGCCAAGGACCUGGCUGCAGAUGGCAAAGGUACAGAGUUGAGCAUGAUGAAUGUGAUGUCAGAUGGCAGGACCAUGGACGGGGAUCCCAGAGCUGUUGGGCUGGAUGCCAAGACUGCAAAUCGGGAUGGCAAAGUAACAGCUGGGGAUGCCGUUGCUACGGAAUCGGAUAUUAAGGCUGCAGAUUCAGAGGCCAGAGAACUGGAUACAGCUGACAACUACGGUGGACCACAGGCCACAGUGACAGAUAGGAGACAAACAGGUCCAGGGGGCAAGGAGGACGUGAUGCCAAGAGGCAGGUGCAAGAGCUCGAACGCCAGUGCCCCCACCCUGAAUGUUAAAGAUGCCGGUCAGCAAAACAAAGGCACGGUUGUGGAUGCCAAAGCAACAUCAGAAGUCACCAAGCCAGAUGAGAGCAACAAAGAUGACGAUGGUGACAUCAUUUCUCUCGACUGUGAAAUUCUUGGGUUUGGUCCUGAUACUGAUUUGCUGGGACCGGAUGCUGAGACUUACAUGCAUUUCAUGCGGCGCCACCACUGUUAUGAUGCCAUUCCCACCAGCUCCAAACUGGUAGUGUUUGACACAACCUUGCAGAUAAAGAAGGCCUUCUUAGCCAUGGUGGCCAAUGGGGUGCGAGCAGCCCCUCUCUGGGACAACAAGCAGCAGUGUUUUGUGGGUAUGUUGACUAUCACUGACUUCAUUAACAUCCUACAUCGCUACUACCGAUCACCUCUGGUUCAGAUAUAUGAGAUCGAGGAACACAAAAUUGAAACGUGGAGAGAGGUGUAUUUGCAAGGUUUCUUCAAACCCUUGGUGUGCAUCUCCCCAAAUGAUAGCCUAUUUGAUGCUGUUUAUUCCUUGAUUAAGCACAAGAUCCAUCGGCUGCCUGUUAUCGAGCCCAUCUCAGGGAACGUCCUACACAUUCUGACCCACAAACGUAUCCUCAAGUUCCUGCAUAUCUUCGGAGCCAUGCUUCCAAAGCCACGAUUCCUGCAGAAAACCAUCCUGGAACUAGGCAUUGGCACCUUCCGUGACGUUGCCAUGGUCCUGGAGUCAGCCCCUGUCUACACAGCCUUGGAGAUUUUUGUGGACCGCAGGGUCUCAGCAUUGCCUGUUGUUAAUGAAAAAGGGAGGGUAGUUGGCCUCUACUCUCGCUUUGAUGUGAUUCACUUGGCUGCCCAGAAGUCCUACAACAACCUGGACAUUACUGUGGGGGAAGCACUGAAGCAGCGCUCAGUCUGCCUGGAAGGGGUGCUCACCUGCCAUCCUUAUGAAACGAUGGAAGACAUUAUUGAUCGCAUCGCCAAGGAGCAGGUCCAUCGUCUGGUUCUGGUGGAUGAGAAGAAAACCCCGCGGGGGAUCGUGUCCCUCUCUGACAUUCUCCAAGCCCUGGUUCUCACGCCUGCAGGUAUCGAUGCCCUAAACUCUUAAGCCGCCUGACGCUCCAUCCUUCCUCCAUUUGUACCCUCCAUUUCCUCCGCUUCUCUCCAGCUCAGGCAUCGACCGGUAUUCAAUCUGAUGCCAUUCAAGGCCACACUUGCUACCCAGCACUUUGGGUUACCUCCAGGGCAUCUAUGACACAUGAGGGUAAGGUGGGGCUUUCCAGCCCAUGAAA